rnacentral:lncRNA from 1 species
GAAUACAUGUAAAUAAAAUUGUAAACAGAAUAAUAACAGAAAAAUCAGUGAGACAAAAAGUAGUUCUUUAAGAUCAAUAAAAUUGACAAAUGUCUAGCCAAACUGACCGUGGUGGGAAAACUCUAAUGACCCCCUAGAUUUUUUAACCUCCUGGUGUUUACACCCUUGUAUAAUUCUCUCCUCUUUAGUGUGGAUGGCACCUACAAUUUGCUUCUAAUCAAUAUGAUCUUGCAAAGGGGAUAAGAUUUCACUCCCAUAUUUACAGUAGGUUAUGCAAAUCUCUGUUUUGGUAGAUUGGCAAUCCCACCAACCAUUUAAGAAAGAAAAAAAUACCCAUUCUAUACAAUAUUUUUCAGUACGUAGAAGAGUAAAGAAUAUUUCACAACUCAUUGUAUGAGGCCAGCAUUUUGCUAAUACCAAAGACAGGCAGAGACA